GAUGAACGCUGGCGGCGUGCCUAAUACAUGCAAGUCGAGCGAACGGACGAGAAGCUUGCUUCUCUGAUGUUAGCGGCGGACGGGUGAGUAACACGUGGAAAACCUCCCUAUCAGACUGGGAUAACUUCGGGAAACCGGAGCUAAUACCGGAUAAUAUUUUGAACCGCAUGGUUCAAAAGUGAAAGACGGUCUUGCUGUCACUUAUAGCUGGAUCCGCGCUGCAUGAGCUGGUUGGUAGGGUAACGGCUUACCAAGGCAACGAUGCAUAGCCGACGUGAGAGAGUGAUCGCCGACACUGGAGCUGAGACACGGUCCAUACGCCUACGGGAGGCAGCAGUAGGGAAUCGGCCGCAAUGGUCGAAAGCCUGACGGAGCAACGCCGCGUGAGUGAUGAAGGUCUUCGGAUCGGAAAACUCUGUUAUUAGUGAAGAACAGAUGUGUAAGUAACUGUGCACAGCUUGACGGUACCUGAUCAGAAAGCCACGGCUAACUACGUG
rnacentral:rRNA from 1 species